rnacentral:rRNA from 1 species
CUUAUCAGCAGAAGCAGCCAGCUUGCUGGAAGCGGAAGAGGGAAAGGCUUAGCGGCGGACGGGUGAGUGACGCGUGGGUAACCUGGCCCAUACAGGGGGAUAACACUUAGAAAUAGGUGCUAAUACCGCAUAACAACAGAAAGCGCAUGCUUUUUGUUUGAAAACCAAGGUGGUAUGGGAUGGACCCGCGUCUGAUUAGCUGGUUGGCGGGGUAAAGGCCCACCAAGGCGACGAUCAGUAGCCGGCCUGAGAGGGUGGACGGCCACAUUGGGACUGAGACACGGCCCAAACUCCUACGGGAGGCAGCAGUGGGGAAUAUUGCACAAUGGGGGAAACCCUGAUGCAGCGACGCCGCGUGAGCGAAGAAGUAAUUCGUUAUGUAAAGCUCUAUCAGCAGGGAAGAAAAUGACGGUACCUGAGUAAGAAGCCCCGGCUAACUACGCGCCAGCAGCCGCGGUAAUACGUAGGGGGCAAGCGUUAUCCGGAUUUACUGGGUGUAAAGGGAGCGUAGACGGCAGUGCAAGUCUGGAGUGAAAGGCGGGGGCUCAACCCCCGGACUGCUCUGGAAACUGUACGGCUGGAGUGCAGGAGAGGUAAGUGGAAUUCCUAGUGUAGCGGUGAAAUGCGUAGAUAUUAGGAGGAACACCAGUGGCGAAGGCGGCUUACUGGACUGUAACUGACGUUGAGGCUCGAAAGCGUGGGGAGCAAACAGGAUUAGAUACCCUGGUAGUCCACGCCGUANACGAUGAUCACUAGGUGUCGGGGGUUAAAGANCCUUCGGUGCCGCAGCCAACGCAGUAAGUGAUCCA